rnacentral:rRNA from 1 species
CGGACGGGUGAGUAACGCGUGGGUAACCUACCCUGUACACACGGAUAACAUACCGAAAGGUAUGCUAAUACGGGAUAAUAUAUUUGAGAGGCAUCUCUUGAAUAUCAAAGGUGAGCCAGUACAGGAUGGACCCGCGUCUGAUUAGCUAGUUGGUAAGGUAACGGCUUACCAAGGCGACGAUCAGUAGCCGACCUGAGAGGGUGAUCGGCCACAUUGGGACUGAGACAUGGCCCAA